rnacentral:rRNA from 1 species
CACUCCUGCGGGAGGCAGCAGUGGGGAAUAUUGCACAAUGGGCGCAAGCCUGAUGCAGCGACGCCGCGUGGGGGAUGAAGGCCUUCGGGUUGUAAACUCCUUUCGCUAGGGACGAAGCUUUUUUGUGACGGUACCUAGAUAAGAAGCACCGGCUAACUACGUGCCAGCAGCCGCGGUAAUACGUAGGGUGCGAGCGUUGUCCGGAAUUACUGGGCGUAAAGGGCUCGUAGGUGGUUUGUCGCGUCGUCUGUGAAAUUCUGGGGCUUAACUCCGGGCGUGCAGGCGAUACGGGCAUAACUUGAGUGCUGUAGGGGUAACUGGAAUUCCUGGUGUAGCGGUGAAAUGCGCAGAUAUCAGGAGGAACACCGAUGGCGAAGGCAGGUUACUGGGCAGUUACUGACGCUGAGGAGCGAAAGCAUGGGUAGCGAACAGGAUUAGAAACCCUUGUAGUCCCAU